rnacentral:sRNA from 1 species
CAUGCCCCUUAUACGCUGGGCUACACACGUGCUACAAUGGGUAGAACAGAGAGUCGCAAAGCUGUGAAGUGGAGCUAAUCUCAGAAAACUAUUCUUAGUUCGGAUUGUACUCUGCAACUCGAGUACAUGAAGUUGGAAUCGCUAGUAAUCGCGAAUCAGCAAUGUCGCGGUGAAUACGUUCUCGGGUCUUGUACACACCGCCCGUCACACCACGAGAGUUGGUUGCACCUGAAGUAGCAGGCCUAACCGUAAGGAGGGAUGCUCCGAGGGUGUGAUUAGCGAUUGGGGUGAAGUCGUAACAAGGUAUCCGUACGGGAACGUGCGGAUGGAUCACCUCCUUUCUAAGGAGAAAAAGUCUUUCUCUAUUCUAUUGGUAAUGUUCUUUACAUUACUUCUGAACAUUGGAAACUAUAUAGUAGAACAAACAAGAAAACAAAAUUAACUCUAACAAUUUCUUAGAGUUAGCUGUCAAAAAAAUAGGUUAAAAUAAUUAAGGGCACACAAAGGAUGCCUAGGUAGUAAGAGCCGAUGAAGGACGUGGUAAGCUGCGAUAAGCCUAG